GCAGCAACGCCGCGUGAGGGACGACGGCCUUCGGGUUGUAAACCUCUUUUAGCAGGGAAGAAGCGAAAGUGACGGUACCUGCAGAAAAAGCACCGGCUAACUACGUGCCAGCAGCCGCGGUAAUACGUAGGGUGCAAGCGUUAUCCGGAAUUAUUGGGCGUAAAGAGCUCGUAGGCGGUUUGUCGCGUCUGCUGUGAAACCCCGAGGCUCAACCUCGGGCCUGCAGUGGGUACGGGCAGACUAGAGUGCGGUAGGGGAGAUUGGAAUUCCUGGUGUAGCGGUGGAAUGCGCAGAUAUCAGGAGGAACACCGAUGGCGAAGGCAGAUCUCUGGGCCGUAACUGACGCUGAGGAGCGAAAGGGUGGGGAGCAAACAGGCUUAGAUACCCUGGUAGUCCACCCCGUAAACGUUGGGAACUAGUUGUGGGGUCCAUUCCACGGAUUCCGUGACGCAGCUAACGCAUUAAGUUCCCCGCCUGGGGAGUACGGCCGCAAGGCUAAAACUCAAAGGAAUUGACGGGGACCCGCACAAGCGGCGGAGCAUGCGGAUUAAUUCGAUGCAACGCGAAGAACCUUACCAAGGCUUGACAUAUACGAGAACGGGCUAGAAAUAGUCAACUCUUUGGAC
rnacentral:rRNA from 1 species